rnacentral:lncRNA from 1 species
AUUUUUCUAGUUUUCCAUAGAAUUACACAUACCGAUACUUACCGAUACGCCACUCAUCCUCAUCAUAGAUUGAAUUCUCACACACACAAGCUGGACGCCAUAAACACACACUCCACCAUCGAUAAUUCACAGUGAACAUAGAAGUUUUAUUCUCUAUUCAUCACCAUAGACUACACAUCACUCACACAGAAAGUUCUUUAACAUACACACACUGAGAUAUGAUUAAGAGAUAGAUGGAAUCGGGGGGAACAGGGAGAGGUUCAUGAAAGAGAGAGAUUGUGAGAUAGAUAGAAAGAGGAGAGAUCGAGAGAGAGUAAAUCGGGUCGAUUGGAAUGUUUUUUUGGUGAGUUUUUGCUAGAAUCAGAAUAUCCCCACGGAAUUGGGUCGUUCACAGCCCCAAAUUACCAUUUCUCUGUGUUUUUCUAAUUUUUCUCUAACAAAAUAUAGCCGAGGAGACCCAUUUGAUUGAUUUUCUGAUCUGUUGGAGCUCCGAACAGAUACAAACGACAACCCUGCUUCGAUUCUAGCGGUUUCAUUGAUGAUUAGUUUGAAAUCUGAGAUUUGGGGGUUGGUAUUAAGGUUUUCCACUAGUUUUGAAUCUAUUUGGGUCGUUAUUUCUCGAUAUUGAGUGGAUUUUGUUCAUUGUUGAAUUUCAAUUUAAGGUUUCAUUUGCGGUUUCAGUCGAAAGGAGCAACUUUAUUGAAAGCAAAUAUUUGAGGUCCAAUUUUUACCUCUUUCUUUAUAAUUUCAUGAUAUUUAUGUGAAUGAUGGUGUGAAUUAUUGUUUGUUUUGAUUCGGUGUUUGAUUUUCAUGAUUAUGGAUUGCAUGAUGAAAUUAUAUCUUGUUUGAGAAUUAAAAUUGGUUGUAUGGGACGAAAAUUAAAAAUUGAUUAAAAGAAAGUGUUAGUUGUUUUGAUUCAUUGAUGUUGUUCAAUGUGGUAAUACCAAGAUAGGUCGAGAUGGGUAUGCAAAUGGUAGGCUCGGGUAGGCAAAUUUAGAACUUUUGGAUUGCUGAGUGUUUGGAAUGUUUGUUGAAUGAUUCAGUUUUUCUCACAUUUGGGAAAUGUAUUCAUUUAGCCAGGGAAUGCCCCGAGGUCAUUUGUAUUUAUUCACUGGAGAAUGCCCCAAAGAAUCUUGUAUGCGAAGGAUGUUCGUGAUCAAGGCCCGAGGCAUCGGAUAGAGCAUAGUGUAGGAUUAGUAAAGGUUAGUGUAGGUUUAUUUUAGUACAUUUUAUUUCGAACUGUAAUAAUUAGACUAGACAUUAUUUUUCAAACUUGUUUUGUUUUGGUGUGAUUGUUUGUUUUGUAUGUUUGUUUCGUUUAUACAUCUUAUAGUUUUUAAUAGCCGAUAUACUCUAUGAAGAUACCGUGGUCGAACCACAGGAUCGAGGGUUGCCUAACACCUUUUUCUCGGUCAACAGAAUUCCUUAGCAGGUAUCUCUAUUCGCGGAUCAGUUUUAAAG